ACAAAUGCUUCUAGAUAAAGCUGAAAAAUAUAAUAUGAAAACACCUACUACAAUUGAAUUAGAAAUAAAGAAAGACACAUAAAAUCCUUUAUGAAGCUGGUUCUUCAAUCUAGUUCAUAUAGCUUCAGGUGUGCAUAAUUGAAUCACAAACGAAUUGCUUGCAAAAAGCCUUGCUAUUUUGUUCUCAAUUCAUGUUUAACUUCUGCAUUUUUGUGCAAUACCUGUAACGUGAGAACAUCCUGUAAUUUAUUGAGUUAGUAGAUGAAGAAAUAGCUAGAGUUCUGAUACAACUCCUCCUUGGUGGAAGAGUUGUAUUUGAUUUCAACUUCUAACUCCUUUCCUAUCUUGGAUAGUGUUCUCUUUGAUUAAGGAUUCCUUCCCCUUAUCAAUUAUGCAACUUUUUCGAUCAGGAGAUAUUAAAUACACCAAGUUAAUAUUAUCUUCUUCACGUGCAUCCAACAUGCUCGAAUCUACCCAUUUUUAUGAACCUGGGGGAUGGACCACUGGGAUGGACAUGGUUCAUGCUUGAAUUCCUUUGUCAGUCUUCAAAACUGACCUUUAC
rnacentral:lncRNA from 1 species